AUACGUAGGGGGCGAGCGUUGUCCGGAAUGAUUGGGCGUAAAGGGCGCGUAGGCGGCGCGGUAAGUCUGGAGUGAAAGUCCUGCUUUCAAGGUGGGAAUUGCUUUGGAUACUGCCGCGCUUGAGUGCAGGAGAGGUUAUCGGAAUUCCCGGUGUAGCGGUGAAAUGCGUAGAGAUCGGGAGGAACACCAGUGGCGAAGGCGGGUAACUGGACUGCAACUGACGCUGAGGCGCGAAAGUGUGGGGAGCAAACAGGAUUAGAUACCCUGGUAGUCCACACUGUAAACGAUGAAUGCUAGGUGUAAGAGGUAUCGACCCCUUUUGUGCCGGAGUCAACGCAAUAAGCAUUCCGCCUGGGGAGUACGGCCGCAAGGUUGAAACUCAAAUGAAUUGACGGGG
rnacentral:rRNA from 1 species